rnacentral:rRNA from 1 species
AUUGAACGCUGGCGGCAGGCCUAACACAUGCAAGUCGAGCGAGCGGCGGACGGGUGAGUAAUGUAUGGGGACUGCCCGAUAGAGGGGGCUAACUACUGGAAACGGUGGCUAAUACCGCAUACUAUCGGAUAACCCAUAUGGGAUUAGUUAGUAGGUGGGGUAAAGGCUCACCUAGGCGACGAUCUCUAGCUGGGCGGAGAGGAUGAUCAGCCACACUGAGAUGGAGACACGGCCAAGACUCCUACGGAGGCAGAGGUGGGGAAUAUUCGACAAUGGGCGAAAUCCUGAUGCAGCAAUGCCGCGUGUAGGAAGCAGGCCUUAGGGUUGUAAAGUAUUUUCAGCGGGACGGCGUUACCGGAAGAAGAAGCCACGGCUAACUCCGUGCCAGCAGCCGCGGUAAUUC